rnacentral:rRNA from 1 species
CCUACGGGUGGCAGCAGUGAGGAAUAUUGGUCAAUGGCCGCAAGGCUGAACGAGCCAUGUCGCGUGAAGGAGGAAGGAUCUAUGGUUUGUAAACUUCUUUUAUGGGGGAAUAAAGGUAUCCACGUGUGGAUAUUUGCAUGUAUCCUAUGCAUAAGCAUCGGCUAACACCGUGCCAGCAGCCGCGGUAAUACGGAGGAUGGGAGCGUUAUCCGGAUUUGUUGGGUUGAACGGGUGGGUAGGUUGUUUUUUAAGUCAGCGGUGAAAGUUUGUGGCUCAACCAUAAAAUUGCCGUUGAAACUGGAAGACUUGAGUGUGUUUGAGGUAGGCGGAAUGCGUGGUGUAGCGGUGAAAUGCAUAGAUAUCACGCAGAACUCCAAUUGCGAAGGCAGCUUACUGGGCCAUAACUGACACUGAGGCACGAAAGCGUGGGGAUCAAACAGGAUUAGAUACCCUUGUAGUC